rnacentral:tRNA from 1 species
GCCCGCGUAGUUUAAUGGCUAUGACGUCAGACUUCUAAUCUGAAGGUUGCGGGUUCGAGUCCCGCCGUGGGUA